rnacentral:rRNA from 1 species
ACUCAAAGGAAUAGACGGGGGCCCGCACAAGCGGUGGAGCAUGUGGAUUAAUACGUCACUAACCGUAGAACCUUACCCAGGCUUGACAUCCCGGGAACCUUCCUGAAAGGGAGGGGUGCCUCGCAAGAGGAGCCCGGAGACAGGUGUUGCAUGGCUGUCGUCAGCUCGUGUCGUGAGAUGUUGGGUUAAGUCCCGCAACGAGCGCAACCCUCACCGUAUGUUGCCAGCGUCAAGUCGGGCACUCUUACGGAACUGCCCGGGUAACCGGGAGGAAGGUGAGGACGACGUCAAGUCAGCAUGGCCCUUACGCCUGGGGCUUCACACAUGCUACAAUGGCCGGUACAAAGGGUUCCGAUACCGCGAGGUGGAGGCAAUCCCAAAAAACCGGUCUCAGUUCGGAUCGCAGGCUGCAACUCGCCUGCGUGAAGUCGGAAUCGCUAGUAACCGCCGGUCAGCUAAACGGCGGUGAAUACGUUCCCGGGCCUUGCACACACCGCCCGU